rnacentral:ncRNA from 1 species
AAUAAAUCGAUGAGUAAGAAGAGUAGGCAGUUUUGAAGCGUUGCAGAGAGCCGGUGUUGGUGGGAUUCCGGUACGUGGAUAGUUGCUGAAUGGCCUUACGAGAGGUGGGCUGAACAACAAAGACGGGAUGUGGAUUCGCAAGUUAGAUCGAAUUUUUCCCGAUGUUAAGUAGGUAAACCCGUUUUUCCGGCGUUACACGGAUAGGAUAUCAGAUGAAUAUAAUGCAAAUAUUUUCAUCCCGUAUCCGAAAAAGAUGAAAAGUAUUUAAUGCUUUUCAACAGAGGUGGCACCGCGGUAAUCAAUCGCCCUCUGC